UACGGAGGGUGCAAGCGUUGUUCGGAAUUAUUGGGCGUAAAGCGCGUGUAGGCGGCUUUGCAAGUCGGGUGUGAAAUCCCUCAGCUUAACUGAGGAAGUGCGCCCGAAACUGCAGAGCUUGAGUACCGGAGAGGGUGGCGGAAUUCCCCAAGUAGAGGUGAAAUUCGUAGAUAUGGGGAGGAACACCGGUGGCGAAGGCGGCCACCUGGACGGAUACUGACGCUGAGACGCGAAAGCGUGGGGAGCAAACAGG
rnacentral:rRNA from 1 species